ACACCAUGGGAGCUGGUAAUGCCCGAAGCCGGUUUGCUAACUUCGGAGGCAACUGUCUAAGGCAGGUCUGGUGACUGGGGUGAAGUCGUAACAAGGUAUCCCUACGAGAACGUGGGGAUGGAUCACCUCCUUUCUACGGAGAGUACAAUCUUUUAAUUUGGCAAUUUACCAAAAUCUUUAAUAUAAAUUUAUUAAAGUCUGUUAUGUGAAUGCGGCCAACAUUUGUUCAUAUCUAGUUUUGAGAGUUCUACUCUCUGAAUAAUAGUUCUUUGAAAACUGAAUACAUUAAUAUGAAAAGACAUCAAACAACAAAUUAGUUUUUAUAGUUUUAUAAAAAAUAAUUUUACUGAGUUAAGUUUAAAUAAAUAAUUAUUUAAAUGUCUUAAAAUACUUAAUCAACAACAAUAGGAAAAUACUAAUACUUAAAUAUUAAAUAAGUAAGAGUUUGUGGUGGAUGCCUUGGGUCUGAAAGUCGAUGAGGAU
rnacentral:misc_RNA from 1 species